CUAUCACUCCUACGGGAGGCAGCAGUGGGGAAUAUUGCACAAUGGGGGAAACCCUGAUGCAGCCAUGCCGCGUGUGUGAAGAAGGCCUUCGGGUUGUAAAGCACUUUCAGUAGGGAGGAAGGUAGUGUAGUUAACACCUGCAUUAUUUGACGUUACCUACAGAAGAAGCACCGGCUAACUCCGUGCCAGCAGCCGCGGUAAUACGGAGGGUGCGAGCGUUAAUCGGAAUUACUGGGCGUAAAGCGCAUGCAGGCGGCCUGUUAAGUCAGAUGUGAAAGCCCGGGGCUUAACCUCGGAAUUGCAUUUGAAACUGGCAGGCUAGAGUCUUGUAGAGGGGGUAGAAUUUCAGGUGUAGCGGUGAAAAUGCGUAGAGAUCUGAAGGAAUACCAGUGGCGAAGGCGGCCCCCCUGGACAAAGACUGACGCUCAGAUGCGAAAGCGUGGGGAGCAAACAGGAUUAGAUACCCCUGGUAG
rnacentral:rRNA from 1 species